rnacentral:lncRNA from 1 species
GGAAGCAUUAGCAAUAUCACAAAGUGCGGAGACUUCAUUGUUUUCCCCUAAUCUGCAAAGGGAGCUGAGACAAGACGGAGGAAACUUUAACCUAUUGCGUGCCUCAGUGGUUGACCAGCCUGGGUCCUGGCGCUAGGGACCUGAAGCAAGAAUCCUGACUGAUGCGUGUUUACUACGACCUGACUUAUUGAGGAGAACAAGGACUUCUCUGAAGGCCUGUCCCCUCAAAGCAGCAGGCAGGACAAGCUUGGCUAGAAAGAGAUACAUGGGACACACAGACAAUUAAAGACUAGAAUAGACACUGUGCUUCAAGUCCCAAGAUUUGUGAAGGAAGAUUUG